GAUGAACGCUAGCGGCAGGCUUAACACAUGCAAGUCGAGGGGCAGCACGGGUAGCAAUACCUGGUGGCGACCGGCGCAAGGGUGCGUAACGCGUGAGCAACAUGCCCUAUACAGGGGGAUAAUCCAGGGAAACUUGGUCUAAUAUCCCAUAGUAUUUAGAGGAGGCAUCUUCUAUAAAUUAAAGCUUCGGUGGUAUAGGAUUGGCUCGCGUGACAUUAGCUAGAUGGUGAGGUAACGGCUCACCAUGGCAAUGAUGUCUAGGGGUUCUGAGAGGAAGGCCCCCACACUGGGACUGAGACACGGCCCAGACUCCUACGGGAGGCAGCAGUGAGGAAUAUUGGACAAUGGAUGGAAAUCUGAUCCAGCCAUGCCGCGUGCAGGAAGACAGCCCUAUGGGUUGUAAACUGCUUUUAUAUGGGAGCAAAUAAGGUCUAACGUGUAGACUGAUGAGAGUACCAUAUGAAUAAG
rnacentral:rRNA from 1 species